rnacentral:rRNA from 1 species
UUGGGAAUAUUGGACAAUGGAGGAAACUCUGAUCCAGUGACGCCGCGUGAAGGAAGAAGGUCUUCGGAUUGUAAACUUAUUUUAUCAGGGAAGAAACAAAUGACUGUACCUGAAGAAGAAGGACCGGCAAACUACGUGCCAGCAGCCGCGGUAAUACGUAGGGUCCGAGCGUUAUCCGGAUUUACUGGGUAUAAAGGGCGAGUAGACGGUUUAGCAAGUCAGAUGUGAAAACUUGGAGCUCAACUCCAAGCCUGCAUCUGAAACUGUUAGACUAGAGUGCAGGAGAGGUAAGCGGAAUUCCUAGUGUAGCGGUGAAAUGCGUAGAUAUUAGGAGGAACACCAGUGGCGAAGGCGGCUUACUGGACUGUAACUGACGUUGAGGAGCGAAAGUGUGGGGAGCAAACA